rnacentral:rRNA from 1 species
ACGGGAGGCAGCAGUGAGGAAUAUUGGUCAAUGGGCGGAAGCCUGAACCAGCCAAGUCGCGUGAGGGAGGAAGGUCCUACGGAUUGUAAACCUCUUUAGCCGGGGAGCAAUAAGCGCUAUGUAUAGCGUGAUGAGAGUACCCGGAGAAUAAGGAUCGGCUAACUCCGUGCCAGCAGCCGCGGUAAUACGGAGGAUCCGAGCGUUAUCCGGAUUUAUUGGGUUUAAAGGGUGCGCAGGCGGUCGAUUAAGUCAGUGGUCAAAUCACGGUGCUCAACGCCGUUCCGCCAUUGAUACUGGUUGACUUGAUUCCGGUCGAGGCAGGCGGAAUUCGUAGUGUAGCGGUGAAAUGCAUAGAUAUUACUCAGAACACCGAUUGCGAAGGCAUCUCACGAAUCCGUCAUUGACGCUGAGGCACGAAAGCGUGGGGAUCAAACAGGAUUAGAUACCCUGGUA